ACGCUUGUGCAUCCUCAUUCGUGGGUUUGUAGCCAGAGUCCAAUGACCCCGCAGAGCUUGGUGGGCUGUAAUAAAGUUAAAACAAUCUACCUGCAAAGCUGCCUCCCACACAGACUCCAGGAUCAUUGAAGAAGGAGGGCAAGGAAGUGCUCCAGGCACCAGAGCAGAGAUUCUCCUGCUGCUAGUGGUGAAGACCACGGUGAGGCAGGAUGUGCUACUGCAGCCCAUGGAGCAGAUAACCAUCCUGCAGCCUGUGGAAGACCCCAUGUUGGAGCAGGUGGGUGCUCCCUGAAGGAAACUGUGAACCUAUGAAGAAAAAGCCCAUGCCGGAGCCGGCUCCUGACAGGACCUGUGACCCCAUGGAGAGGAGGCUAUGAUGAAGCAGGCUUUCUGGCAGGACCUGUGAUCCCAUCUGGGGACCCACACUGGAGCAGUCUGUUCCCUAAAGGACUGCAUCCCAUGGAAAAGACCCAUAGUGGAGCAGUUCAUGAAGAACUGCAAUCCAUGGGAAGGACCUAUAUUGUAUAGGUUUGUGAAAGACUGUCUCCCAUGGGAGGGACUCUAUGCUAGGGGAUGAGUAUGAGAACAAAGGUACGGCAGACAAAGCAUUAUGAGCUGACCUGAACCCCUAUUCCCCAUCCCUCUGCACUGCUUGGGAGGAGGAGAUAAAGAAGUCAAGAGUAAAGCUGAGCCUGGAAAGAAAGGACCAGUGUGGGAAAUGUGUUUUAAGAUUUGGUUUUAUUUCCUGUCAUCCUACUCUGUCCUUUUGAUUUGCAAUAAAUUAAAUUAAUUCCCCACACUGACUCUGUUUUGCCUGUGAUGGUUAUUACUGAGUCAUAUCCCUGUCCUUGUCUUGACCCACGAGCCUUUUGUCACAUCUCCUGUUGAGGCAGGGAAUUGGUAGGUGGGCACCUAUCAGGCUAGCCAAGGUCAACAUAGCAUAUUAUCACACCACCUUAAUAAAGUAAUAUAACUCUAGAUUCAUCUUAAUCCUGUGUGGAAAUUAACUUCUUCCAUAUUUUAAAGUAAAUUUGGCAGUUCUUCUUUGUCUGCAUUUAUUUUCAUUUUUUAGCUCAGGAAUGUUGUCACUGGGUCCUAUGUGUGCCUUGGACAUUUUUUUGAAAAACCAAAUAAUGUGAUUGUGAACAUGCCUCUAUGUUGUGGAUUUCUUCAGCACUCAGUACACUUAUUUUACACGAUACAGUCACACUUUUACAAUUAAUUCUCUUGAGUUCCCAGAAGUCCUCUCUUAUCCUUGCACAAAGAAUGAUUUUUCUCAGUCCAGAAAAGAAUCUAUUCAGUUUUACACUGAUGAGACAGCAGUGCUCUGCCACAGAACAGGACCUCACAGAAAUUCAGAUAGUAGUCCAACCCUUGAUUAUCUUGGUCUCUUUUGGAAGUCUAUUCUCUUGCAAGAGAAAAAGACCCUUGACCAUGACCUCGAGACCUCACUGUCUUAUCCUAAGAUUGGCUGCAUUUCCCGAGGAGGUUAGUACAGCUGUGUUUGUAGGCUCUCACUGUGGCUGAAGGAUACCGUCUUUUCUUCUUGGCACAGGCCAUUGUGUGAGUUCCCAUGAGACCUGACCUGAUGAUUUUUCAAUGUGACCUAGCAUUUUAAAUUCCCUUUUGCUCUACUAAAUAGACGUCUGAAAAUAUGAUUGAUCAAAUGUAAUUCUCUCUAACACACUCUUGUUAAAUGCUCUCAAGCCACUGCAGCAGCAGUACUUAUCCUUAGAACCCAGGAAGGGAGCAGAGUGCUGGUACUGCCCAUAUCCUGGGUCCCACUGGGACUUUGAGAAUGCAAAAUUCCUACAAGCUGCAGUUUAAGGAUGAGCUUUCUUGCCUCUGGGCUGAUGGCAACAGAGAGCAGAAAACUGGCUCUACAGUUAUCCUUUCCAGAGCUACACAAUAAAAGCACAAACAGAUUUCAUGCUGAAUUCCAGAUUGUUACUGAUUUUAAUCAACACUACAAGAAGUACACAGAUCUAUUAAAAAUAAAACUGUAAAUACUUCCCUGCUUCAUUCUCUCCAUCAGCUAACAUACCAGUUCUUCUUUUACUUCAAGACAAAGUCUUCUGGGAGGGAUGCAGAUCUGUUUCCUGCAGUUGACACAGCUUCUUUUCAAGCUUCUAUACUUGCUGCCCAUCCCUGUCGUUUCUAUAACGUUUAUCCUCAUAUGAAUUCUGUUCAAAAGUUUUGCUGUUUUAAAUACUUUUUUGCUUUUCUUCCCUCCUUCCCUGGUUCUUUACAAUUCUUUCCUGCUUAGGCAGCUCCUUUGCUAAUACAUUAAGGCCGUUCCACCAGAAUUGGAAAACUUUCUGGCCAACAUUAGUUCCUAGAUUGAGAGAGAUGAGAUGCAACGCUGACAGAAUGGUAGAUGGCAUAAACACUGGGUGCUCAGUGAAUCAGCAUCCUGUCUUGAGCCAGAAGUAUUAAAUAGUAAAUAAAAGGAUUUCUGAAGCCAUCAGGCCUGGGUAGGGAAAUAUAUCACCAAGAUCACAUUAUUAUUAUAAAAGGUCACUUUAGUUCACUUGUAAUUUUCAAACAUGCUAAAUUUUAAUUAGAAAAUUUGUGCAAAUCAAAGAAUUUUGUUGAAACUACCAUCAAAAUUGUGGAAUAAUUUUUAAGUGCCAGGUGGUCUCUUCAUUUAUAAAAAUAGGGGUUGUUUGUUGUUCAGUUUUUAACUUGUUUUAAUCACUUCUUGGAAUAGUUACAGAAAUUAAAAAUCAAUCAAGCCUAUUCCAGUCUUCCAUCUUGUGAAAACUAAGUACAGUUUCGCAAGUUACACCAAGUGUCAUAAACAUUGCCAUUUGCAUUAUAUGUGCAACAUACAUGCGGUCAAUAUGUCAUAUUAUGUUUUUUAUCAAUUUAUGUACAGCCACAUGUAUAGUCUUAGUCACUUACAGGAGGGCAAAACUAGCUGCCUGCCAGAUACCCACUAGCAGUACCAAUACAUUUUUUAAUAUAUGACAUUGCAAAGAAUAUUUAAUUGCAUAAACAAUGUGACAGAACUUCAAGUAGGUAGCCAAACAUAAAGGGCCAUUCUCAUGCACAGAAAGUUUGACUUAGAACAUUCUGUAUUUUGCAAUAUGCAGGCCUGUAACACUGUAUAGCAAUUAAUCCAAUUGCAUUUAUGGAAUCAGGACUGCUCAUCUAUUUUACUGAAAUAUAAAUUAAUACUAAAAUCACGCAGAUGUAGAAGUCAGACUUCAGGAGAUGUGCACAUGUAUUAAUGAAAUAACUUGGUCACUCAGUACAGAGCAUAGACCUGCAAAUGACUGAAAAUGAUAGAAUUUUUAUUUGCCAAACCUUUGAUCAAAAAUUAUAAUCAAAAGUUAAACUUCAAUCAGAGCACACAGAGCUUCAAAGGUGUAAAGUUAAAAACACCCUUUCUCAGUCACUCUUCUCUGUUGCACGCUAACCCUUUUUGGGAAUAACUCAUCACAUGAUCUUUUUUUUCAGAUGGAAUGCUGUUCCAACCUCUAUUAUAUUCUCUUCCCCAGUCC